rnacentral:rRNA from 1 species
AGUGAACGCUGGCGGUAGGCCUAACACAUGCAAGUCGAACGGCAGCACAGUAAGAGCUUGCUCUUACGGGUGGCGAGUGGCGGACGGGUGAGGAAUACAUCGGAAUCUACUUUUUCGUGGGGGAUAACGUAGGGAAACUUACGCUAAUACCGCAUACGACCUACGGGUGAAAGCAGGGGAUCUUCGGACCUUGCGCGAUUGAAUGAGCCGAUGUCGGAUUAGCUAGUUGGCGGGGUAAAGGCCCACCAAGGCGACGAUCCGUAGCUGGUCUGAGAGGAUGAUCAGCCACACUGGAACUGAGACACGGUCCAGACUCCUACGGGAGGCAGCAGUGGGGAAUAUUGGACAAUGGGCGCAAGCCUGAUCCAGCCAUACCGCGGGGGUGAAGAAGGCCUUCGGGUUGUAAAGCCCUUUUGUUGGGAAAGAAAAGCAGCAGGUUAAUACCCCGCCGUUCUGACGGUACCCAAAGAAUAGGCACCGGCUAACUUCGUG